CUAGGGUGUAGAGAAUGUCCUGAGUGUUAUGCUAGGGUGUAGAGAUGUUCUGAGUGUUAUGCUAGGGUGUAGAGAUGUUCUGAGUGUUAUGCUAGGGUGUAGAGAAUGUCCUGAGUGUUAUGCUAGGGUGUA